rfam:Glycine soja cultivar W05 scaffold3400_16, whole genome shotgun sequence.
UUUUUAUUGGACGUUAAUUGUCACGUGUCACAUUUUUAUUGGAUGUUCAUUUAAUUAGGUGCACGAAAUUAACUUUUAAUAAAAAUGUGACACAUCCUAGUAAAAAUAC